rnacentral:rRNA from 1 species
CCUACGGGUGGCAGCAGUGAGGAAUAUUGGUCAAUGGGCGCGAGCCUGAACCAGCCAAGUCGCGUGAGGGAAGACGGUCCUAUGGAUUGUAAACCCCUUUUGUCGGGGAGCAAAAGACGCCACGCGUGGCGUUCCGAGCGUACCCGAAGAAAAAGCAUCGGCUAACUCCGUGCCAGCAGCCGCGGUAAUACGGAGGAUGCGAGCGUUAGCCGGAUUUAUUGGGGUAAAGGGGUGCACAGGAGGAAGCUCAAGUCAGCGGUAAAAUUGAGGGGCUAAACCUCUGAGAGCCGUUGAAACUGGUUUGCUUGAGUGAGUGAGGAGUAGGCGGAAUGCGUGGUGUAGCGGUGAAAUGCAUAGAUAUCACGCAGAACUCCGAUUGCGAAGGCAGCAUACCGGCGCUCAACUGACGCUCAUGCACGAAAGUGUGGGUAGCGAACAGGAUUAGAUACCCGUGUAGUC